AGGAGCCGUGUAACGGGAAACUGUUAAGCACGGUUUUGGAGAGCAACGGCUCUCGUGAGGGAGUCGUUGACUUUAAU
rfam:Hassallia byssoidea VB512170 scaffold_18, whole genome shotgun sequence.